GACAGAGGGUGCAAACGUUGCUCGGAAUCACUGGGCGUAAAGGGCGUGUAGGCGGGAAGGAAAGUCAGAUGUGAAAUCCCCAGGCUCAACCUGGGAACUGCAUUUGAAACUCCCUUUCUUGAGUACCGGAGAGGAAAGUGGAAUUCCUGGUGUAGAGGUGAAAUUCGUAGAUAUCAGGAGGAACACCAGUGGCGAAGGCGGCUCACUGGCCCGGUACUGACGCUGAGGUGCGAAAGCGUGGGGAGCAAACAGG
rnacentral:rRNA from 1 species